CGCGGUACGUCAUCGGCUACCAUUUCUUAAGUUGUUUGGGCAGAUCUUUCUCUUGAAAAUGCUUUGUUGAUUCUCCGAGAAAUCACUUUUUUCUAGAUCUGUUGCACCAAAGAGCAAGCGAUACAAGACUAACCCAGCAAGCUGGACACCGAAUUCCGCACUGGGAGCUCGAUCAAGGACCGCCUGUGGCGCGGGCAACAAGAGCAGCUCCCAAUCGAAGUAAUGACCAGGGAAACACUUUUAUAGCUCUUGGAUCCGGGAGGUGCUGGGACAGGAAGCGCUUCUACAACUCGUGCAUCGGGGAAUCGAGAGAUUUCUCCAGAGAUUUCUCGCUGGUGCUCGCGGCAUUCAAGGCUUGCAGCUGGUGCCUCGGGCGGUGCUCAAUGUUUCUUUUUGGUUGUUACAUCGGCAGAUGGAGCUUGUGAUUCCCAAGUUAGGGCAGAUGAAAAAGCCCAUUCGGAGCCUUUUUCUGCGGAGAAGCAUUAGCACAGCAAUCACGCAGGGCCGAUUGUUUGCGCCACUAGGUAAUGUUGAUAUUAACUUCGCUUUUUACUGCAUGGUUUGGUUUGGCACAAUGGAUGAAAAUGGAAAACCAAGAAGCUUGAAUGGAUUAAAGUACCAUAAUUGGUGCUUUCCACACAACUAGGCGGGAGUAAACGAUGGUCAAGCAGGGCACAGAGCUCAUGGAACAUGGAUCCUAGGGCAAGCGGCGCAUUGCGGGAUCGCUCAUCCAUUCACGAGGUAAGAAUCAUCUUUAGCUUGGGUGGAUUUGGCGCUGGAGUGUCUUGUUUAGCUCACUCUAGGAGAAACCAUUCGGUCUCUCUUGCGACUUCUUUUGCUUAAGACGCGCUCAUAUUUUUCUUUCCUUUUCUUGUGUAGCUUAAAAAAAAUGCAAGACUCUGCUAGCAUGCAUCGUCAACAACAGCAGCAACUUUUCUCGUCAAGCUGGGCCUCACCUCCGCACU
rnacentral:lncRNA from 1 species